CUGGUGUAGCGGUGAAAUGCGCAGAUAUCAGGAGGAACACCGAUGGCGAAGGCAGGUCUCUGGGCAUUAACUGACGCUGAGGAGCGAAAGCAUGGGGAGCGAACAGGAUUAGAUACCCUGGUAGUCCAUGCCGUAAACGUUGGGCACUAGGUGUGGGGGACAUUCCACGUUUUCCGCGCCGUAGCUAACGCAUUAAGUGCCCCGCCUGGGGAGUACGGCCGCAAGGCUAAAACUCAAAGGAAUUGACGGGGGCCCGCACAAGCGGCGGAGCAUGCGGAUUAAUUCGAUGCAACGCGAAGAACCUUACCAAGGCUUGACAUGGGCCGGACCGGGCUGGAAACAGUCCUUCCCCUUUGGGGCCGGUUCACAGGUGGUGCAUGGUUGUCGUCAGCUCGUGUCGUGAGAUGUUGGGUUAAGUCCCGCAACGAGCGCAACCCUCGUUCCAUGUUGCCAGCGCGUAAUGGCGGGGACUCAUGGGAGACUGCCGGGGUCAACUCGGAGGAAGGUGGGGACGACGUCAAAUCAUCAUGCCCCUUAUGUCUUGGGCUUCACGCAUGCUACAAUGGCCGGUACAAAGGGUUGCGAUACUGUGAGGUGGAGCUAAUCCCAAAAAGCCGGUCUCAGUUCGGAUUGGGGUCUGCAACUCGACCCCAUGAAGUCGGAGUCGCUAGUAAUCGCAGAUCAGCAACGCUGCGGUGAAUACGUUCCCGGGCCUUGUACACACCGCCCGUCAAGUCACGAAAGUUGGUAACACCCGAAGCCGGUGGCCUAACCCCUUGUGGGAGGGAGCUGUCGAAGGU
rnacentral:rRNA from 1 species